UACAGAGGUCUCAAGCGUUGUUCGGAUUCAUUGGGCGUAAAGGGUGCGUAGGCGGCGCGGUAAGUCGGGUGUGAAAUCUCGGAGCUUAACUUCGAAACUGCAUUCGAUACUGCCGUGCUUGAGGACUGGAGAGGAAACUGGAAUUUACGGUGUAGCGGUGAAAUUCGUAGAUAUUCGCAAGAACACCAGUGGCGAAGGCGGCUCACUGGCCCGGUACUGACGCUGAGAAGCGAAAGCAUGGGGAGCGAACAGG
rnacentral:rRNA from 1 species